rnacentral:rRNA from 1 species
AUUGAGCGCUGGCGGCAUGCCUUACACAUGCAAGUCGAACGGUAACAGAUCUUCGGAUGCCGACGAGUGGCGAACGGGUGAGUAAUACAUCGGAACGUGCCUAGUAGUGGGGGAUAACUACUCGAAAGAGUGGCUAAUACCGCAUGAGAUCUACGGAUGAAAGCAGGGGAUUGCAAGACCUUGUGCUACUAGAGCGGCCGAUGGCAGAUUAGGUAGUUGGUGGGAUAAAAGCUUACCAAGCCGACGAUCUGUAGCUGGUCUGAGAGGACGAUCAGCCACACUGGGACUGAGACACGGCCCAGACUCCUACGGGAGGCAGCAGUGGGGAAUUUUGGACAAUGGGCGAAAGCCUGAUCCAGCAAUGCCGCGUGCAGGAUGAAGGCCUUCGGGUUGUAAACUGCUUUUGUACGGAACGAAAAGCCCCGGGUUAAUACCCUGGGGUCAUGACGGUACCGUAAGAAUAAGCACCGGCUAACUACGUGCCAGCCGCCGCGGUAAUAC